GGCCCAUUAGCUCAGUUGGUUAGAGCGUCGUGCUAAUAACGCGAAGGUCGUGAGUUCGAUCCUCACAUGGGCCA
rfam:Bombyx mori DNA, contig: Bm_scaf2_contig1627, strain: p50T/Dazao, build 2, whole genome shotgun sequence.